rnacentral:lncRNA from 13 species
AGGUGUGGCUUAGACAGCUGGUGCCUGCCUUCUAUGCCUGCACAGAAAACGGAUGGGAUGCAUUGAAGGAUCCUCCUAAUUUAUCAUCCAGGGGCUCUUUUCCAUGGAGAGUCAGGCUCUCCUUGCUCCGUUUUGAGAACAAAUUGCAUGUGACACAAGAUAAACUUUACCCCAGCACUGCCUCUGCUGGAGCCAAGGACAUAUCACUGGGUUAUAAUUGGAACCAGAGGCAUCCGGGAUUUUAUAAUUUUUGUAAACAGGCACACAGGAUUCUGUAAUUAACAGCAAUGAGAACAAUAACGAUGAUCCUCUGCACUCGGACCCCCCAAUCCAUAAGAAAUGCUUCUCCGGUGGUUAUGUGGAAGGGAUAAGAGGAUCGGAAGACACAAUCCAGAUCUCAACAGAAUGGAUAAUGACCACCGGAAAUCGUGAGAAUCAUUUCAUCACUGAUAGGAAGAAAGAAGUGGGAAAGAGAAUUGCUCUCCUCUAUGGAAAACUAAAUUGGAAACCAGUAUUUUCUGAAGUCCCAAAAAGAGUUAAAUAGAACCUUUAAUGACUAUAGCCUCAAACUCUGUAAUUCAAAACCAAAGUGUCCCUCUGUACUUUGGAAGAGUCUGGGAUAUACUCCCCUGGCUCUGUUAGUGAGACCGAGGACAUUCAGCCUCCAGAGGAUAAUUACUGGCAUUUAAGUUUUUCUCUCUGGAAGCACUGAGGCAAGCUCUUUCUACUGUUCUGCCUGCCUCAUGGGGCUUCUCCCUUAUUAGUGAGAGAAUUUCAAAGUUGGGCUCAUUAUUCUGGCCUCCUUUUUCUUCUUCCUAUCUACCCCUAUUUUUGUCCAGGUUACUUCUUAUAGUAUAAAUGCCCUUCAUAGCCCAAAACAUAAGGACUCCAUCAGCAAAUGAAUAUUCAAGUUCAACUCCCAAGGAUGGAUUACCCACUGUGUGCAGGACCAUUUAAUCUCCCAGCAAAGAACUUCUAUGCCACCCCAGCUCCUACUAUGUGUGCAUUCCUCUGUCAAGUGGGACGGCAAUGAGAUUAGCAAUGAGUGAAUGGCCUGGAAUCAGCUCUCAAGACCACGUAAUCUAAUGGGGAUGGGGUAGGUAGGAUCUUCUAGGAAUGGUGGAGGCUGAGAAGAUAUCACAAGACUGUAGAACGUAAUUUAGUGUCCUCUUAUAUACUUUCCGGAAUAAGCCAGGAUCCUCAUCUUUAAGGAUGAUGCAGUCUCAGCGUGUUUGUAAGAAUUAACAAUGCUAAAUUGCGUAUAAAGCCCUUUCUUAGCCACCUUUUUUUUCCUGUAUGUAAGAGCAUCCCACUUGAAAACAGGAAAGGCUGGAUUUAGAAUCCAUCCUGGAACAUGCUGCUUGACUUGCAAACCCUGUUCACCAGCAUUUUAACUCCGAAUUUCCAAACUGUCUUCCUUUCUCAGAAAUACCUACAGAUGUUCAUUAAUUAGGAUCUUC